UGUUCGGUACCACAUAACAUGCGAGAAUACCUUCUCCAGUAUGUUGGAGAGAAGAUUAGCAAGAAAAAGGCGGGUGAGAAAAUGAGAAGUUGACAGAAAAAGAUUUUUUUCAUUAUCGAAAGGGACAUGUACAACAUCCAUAAUGGUGUGUCUGAUGGAAUUUGUCAUUUCAUUAAUAAAUAAUGCUGAUAAAGAUGCAAACUUAGCAAUUGUGCCUAAAAAGUGACAGCUUUGACAAGGAAAUAUAUCCAUAUAUAACAGUUACUGGUACUGUCUGAAUGCAGUGAAAGGAUCCAGAUGAACAGAUGAAGAGAUUAAGUACAAUGUACAUCAUUCAAAUACUUGGAUGAAGAGAAUCUGCAACAUGGGGAAAUAAUGUUCCUGUAGAAAAGUCAAAGAAUGUAUACAUGUGAGAUUCUGAAGUAGCUGUACAUGAUGAGUAGGAAUUUGAAGUGAAUUAUGGGAAAAGUGAAAUGGUAAAAAAGAAACUGCUAGCGCUACUGUGCAGACUACCAUCAAUCAACAUGAUCAACAAAAUCAAGUAAUCCUUCUGAAGAUGGAGUACUACACAAGCACAAUUUUUUAAAGAAAGAAAAGUCAAUGGAAUGAAAGCCAAAGAAAAGGUGAAGUGAAUUGUCACUCAUUAUAUUUUAAAUUUAAUGUGGACAUGGUCAUUAUUUUAGUUAUGUCAUAACCUUCUAAUCAAUUUUAAGCAGUGCAGACAGAUGCAUUUCUUAUUGCUUUGAAUAGAAUAAAUUAUCAAAAAAGUUUGUAUAUGUUUUUUGAUAUUGAAUUAAAAUUAAAAAAAAAAAAAACAAAUUAUCAAUUACUGCAGUUUUGAAUUUCAGUACACUAGAAAUUUUUCUGCCCUGCCAUGAAUAUGGCUGGGGCAUAUAGAGUUUGUCAUGUCCGUCUUCCGUCCUUCCAACCUUCUGUCUGUCCUUCCAUUCCGCUUUGCUUUUAGCUCAGUUCAAAACUAAGUUUCAAAGAAACUAUUCAAGAUAUUUUUAUCAAUCUUCAUAUGCUGAUACAUAUUGAUGAGAGGUAUUCAAUUUCAUCAAUAUUUUUUUUAC